rnacentral:rRNA from 1 species
UGCAGUCGAACGGUAACAGGGAGCUUGCUCCGCUGACGAGUGGCGAACGGGUGAGUAAUAUAUCGGAACGUACCCAAGAGUGGGGGAUAACGUAGCGAAAGUUACGCUAAUACCGCAUACGAUCUACGGAUGAAAGCAGGGGACCGCAAGGCCUUGUGCUCCUGGAGCGGCCGAUAUCUGAUUAGCUAGUUGGUAGGGUAAAGGCCUACCAAGGCAUCGAUCAGUAGCUGGUCUGAGAGGACGACCAGCCACACUGGAACUGAGACACGGUCCAGACUCCUACGGGAGGCAGCAGUGGGGAAUUUUGGACAAUGGGCGCAAGCCUGAUCCAGCAAUGCCGCGUGAGUGAAGAAGGCCUUCGGGUUGUAAAGCUCUUUUGUCAGGGAAGAAACGGUUUCGGCUAAUAUCCGGAGCUAAUGACGGUACCUGAAGAAUAAGCACCGGCUAACUACGUGCCAGCAGCCGCGGUAAUACGUAGGGUGCAAGCGUUAAUCGGAAUUACUGGGCGUAAAGCGUGCGCAGGCGGUUUUGUAAGUCUGUCGUGAAAUCCCCGGGCUCAACCUGGGAAUGGCGAUGGAGACUGCAAGGCUAGAAUCUGGCAGAGGGGGGUAGAAUUCCACGUGUAGCAGUGAAAUGCGUAGAGAUGUGGAGGAACACCGAUGGCGAAGGCAGCCCCCUGGGUCAAGAUUGACGCUCAUGCACGAAAGCGUGGGGAGCAAACAGGAUUAGAUACCCUGGUAGUCCACGCCCUAAACGAUGUCUACUAGUUGUCGGGUCUUAAUUGACUUGGUAACGCAGCUAACGCGUGAAGUAGACCGCCUGGGGAGUACGGUCGCAAGAUUAAAACUCAAAGGAAUUGACGGGGACCCGCACAAGCGGUGGAUGAUGUGGAUUAAUUCGAUGCAACGCGAAAAACCUUACCUACCCUGG